rnacentral:rRNA from 1 species
UACGUAGGGUCCGAGCGUUGUCCGGAAUUAUUGGGCGUAAAGGGCUCGUAGGCGGUCUGUUGCGUCGGGAGUGAAAACUUACAGCUUAACUGUGAGCGUGCUUCCGAUACGGGCAGACUUGAGGUAUUCAGGGGAGACUGGAAUUCCCGGUGUAGCAGUGAAAUGCGUAGAUAUCGGGAGGAAUACCGAUGGCGAAGGCAGGUCUCUGGGCUGACACUGACGCUCAUGCACGAAAGCGUGGGGAGCAAACAGG